ACAAGUUUAGAUAAAGCAUUGCUAUGACGUUAUACAUACCAGAACACUCAGGGGAGAAAUUCAAAAUUUAUAUUAUUUCGUGUUUGACUUUUGAGUUUAUCAUAUGCAUGUCUCUGUACUUGUAGGCUUCAAAGAGUGAAACAUACUCAUUUUCACCGAUAGAUAUCUCUGACUAGUUGCUACUCCAGCCAGCAACUGCCACAGCCAUCACGUUGCCGCCUAGUCUCCCUUCACUAAUGCCGAUCAAUCAAGGCUCCAUCGAUCACAACUGCUCCAUCAUAGCCGGACCACCACCUCAACCUGCCACCCUUUUUCCCUACAAUAUCGCGGUGCUAAGCUCCGUCCAAGGCUGAAAAAAACCUACAAUAUCGCGUUGCUAAGCUCCGUCCAAGGCUGAUUCCAAUGGCUGUAAAAAUAUGAAGAAGUGUAUGUACUACGAACAAGUGAAACAUCGACCAACCUCCUCUACCAUCAGAUCUCUAAUAGUUCAUACUGAAUCCAUAUAAUGGGCA
rnacentral:lncRNA from 1 species